rnacentral:rRNA from 1 species
UCCUACGGGGGGCAGCAGUUAGGAAUAUUCGUCAAUGGGGGAAACCCUGAACGAGCAAUGCCGCGUGAACGAUGAAGGCCCUAUGGGUUGUAAAGUUCUGUUGUUUGGAACGAAUAACUAGAUGAGGAAAUGCUUCUAGUCUGACGGUACCAUUCAAGAAAGCCACGGCUAACUACGUGCCAGCAGCCGCGGUAAUACGUAGGUGGCGAGCGUUAUCCGGAUUUAUUGGGCGUAAAGCGAGUGCAGGCGGUUCAAUAAGUCUGAUGUGAAAGCCUUCGGCUCAACCGGAGAAUUGCAUCAGAAAC